rfam:Sugiyamaella lignohabitans strain CBS 10342 chromosome D, complete sequence.
GACACUUUGGCCGAGCGGUUAAGGCGUUAGACUCAAGUUGCAAGACUUACCCUCGAGAAGAGGGAGCAUUCUAAUAUCGCAAGAUGCAAGGGUUCGAAUCCCUUAGGUGUCA